UACGGGGGGGGGCAAGCGUUGUUCGGAAUUACUGGGCGUAAAGGGCUCGUAGGCGGCCAACUAAGUCAGACGUGAAAUCCCUCGGCUUAACCGGGGAACUGCGUCUGAUACUGGAUGGCUUGAGUUUGGGAGAGGGAUGCGGAAUUCCAGGUGUAGCGGUGAAAUGCGUAGAUAUCUGGAGGAACACCGGUGGCGAAGGCGGCAUCCUGGACCAACACUGACGCUGAGGCACGAAGGCGUGGGGAGCGAACGGG
rnacentral:rRNA from 1 species